rnacentral:rRNA from 1 species
AGGGUGUAAACGCUGCAGACUUGGUGUUGGAAGCCCUUUGGGGGCAUUCAGUGCCGGAGAGAAGUUGUUAAGUCUGCUACUUGGGGAGUACGUCCGCAAGGGUGAAACUUAAAGGAAUUGGCGGGGGAGCACCGCAACGGGAGGAGCGUGCGGUUUAAUUGGAUUCAACACCGUAAAACUCACCAGGGAAGACUGUUACAUGAAGGCCGAGAUGAAGACUCUGCUAGAUUUUCAGAGAGGAGGUGCAUGGCGUCAGUGACU